rnacentral:tRNA from 1 species
GCCUUCUUAGCCCAAUAGGAAGAGUAUCAGUCUCAUAAGCUGAAGGUCCUGAGUUUGAUCCUCGAAGGAGACU